rnacentral:rRNA from 1 species
ACAUCCAGAGAAUUUAGCAGAGAUGCUUUAGUGCCUUCGGGAACUCUGAGACAGGUGCUGCAUGGCUGUCGUCAGCUCGUGUUGUGAAAUGUUGGGUUAAGUCCCGNAACGAGCGCAACCCUUUAUCCUUUGUUGCCAGCACGUAAUGGUGGGAACUCAAAGGAGACUGCCGGUGAUAAACCGGAGGAAGGUGGGGAUGACGUCAAGUCAUCAUGGCCCUUACGAGUAGGGCUACACACGUGCUACAAUGGCGCAUACAAAGAGAAGCGACCUCGCGAGAGCAAGCGGACCUCAUAAAGUGCGUCGUAGUCCGGAUUGGAGUCUGCAACUCGACUCCAUGAAGUCGGAAUCGCUAGUAAUCGUAAAUCAGAAUGUUACGGUGAAUACGUUCCCGGGCCCUGUACACACCGCCCGUCACACCAUGGGAGUGGGUUGCAAAAGAAGUAGAUAGCUUAACCUUCGGGAGGGCGUUUACCACUUUGUGAUUCAUGACUGGGGUGAAGUCGUAACAAGGUAGGCGUAGUGCU